rnacentral:rRNA from 1 species
CUAUACAUGCAGUCGAACGCUUUGUGGUCCAACUGAUUUGAAGAGCUUGCUCAGAUAUGACGAUGGACAUUGCAAAGAGUGGCGAACGGGUGAGUAACACGUGGGAAACCUACCUCUUAGCAGGGGAUAACACUUGGAAACAAGUGCUAAUACCGUAUAACACUAAUAACCGCAUGGUUAUUAGUUAAAAGAUGGUCUUGCUAUCACUAAGAGAUGGUCCCGCGGUGUAUUAGCUAGUUGGUAAGGUAAUGGCUUACCAAGGCAAUGAUACAUAGCCGAGUUGAGAGACUGAUCGGCCACAAUGGGACUGAGACACGGCCCAUACUCCUACGGGAGGCAGCAGUAGGGAAUCUUCCACAAUGGACGAAAGUCUGAUGGAGCAACGCCGCGUGUGUGAUGAAGGGUUUCGGCUCGUAAAACACUGUUGUAAGAGAAGAAUGACAUUGAGAGUAACUGUUCAGUGUGUGACGGUAUCUUACCAGAAAGGAACGGCUAAAUACGUGCCAGCAGCCGCGGUAAUACGUAUGUUCCAAGCGUUAUCCGGAUUUAUUGGGCGUAAAGCGAGCGCAGACGGUUAUUUAAGUCCGAAGUGAAAGCCCACAGCUUAACUGUGGAAGUGCUUUGGAAACUGGAUAACUUGAGUGCAGUAGAGGAGAGUGGAACUCCAUGUGUAGCGGUGAAAUGCGUAGAUAUAUGGAAGAACACCAGUGGCGAAGGCGGCUCUCUGGACUGUAACUGACGUUGAGGCUCGAAAGUGUGGGUAGCACACAGGAUUAGAUACCCUGGUAGUCCACACCGUAGACGAUGAGUGCUAGAUGUUUGAGGGUUUCCGCCCUUAACUGUCGCAGCUCACGCAUUAAGCACUCCGCCUGGCGAGUACGACCGCAAGGUUGAAACUCAUAGGAAUUGACGGAGAACCCGCACAAGCGGUGGAGCAUGUGGUUUAGUUCUAAGCAUCGCGAAGAACUUAACAAGUCUUGACUUCCGUUGACACUUCAGACAUAAAGCAUAUCACUUCCGGGACAAGUGACCAGUGAUGCACGGGUGGUCGUCAGCUCGCGCCCCGCCACGUGCGGGAAGUGGUGGUACAACCCCCACCCUUAUGCCAAAUGAAAAAAUACCCGUGGCCCCUCCCAUGAGGAAGGGGUGGGGCACC